AAAAUCUCAAACUCAGCAAGAUGGGCAGAGGCGCUAAGCUUUAGAGCGAGAAAAUAAUGUUCGACAGCAACCAAUUUGACUCCACGCCCAGCUUCGUCUCUUCGCAAACCGCCGAUCCAUCUCCCUCCUCUGCCAAGUCUCGAGAUGCCCAGCCGAUGCAUCCGGUAACGGUGAAGCAAAUAGUGGAAGCGAAGCGAGUCCAUCAGACGGCGACAAGUCGGAUAUCCUCAUCGACGGCAUCAACGUCUACAAUGUGAAAUUGAUGGGAAUGGUAUUUGACAAAACAGCAAGGGUUACUGAUGUGUCAUUCGUGAUUGAUGAUGGUACAGGGCGUAUUGGCUGCAAGAG